UAUUUAGUGCCAUAGCAGAAGAAGCAAUUAGCAGGCAUUUAAUGGGGCAAUCUCCCAAGAACAGUCCUGAGACAAGAGCUACUCCACCACAGAUCAGGCCCUGGAAGGAGAUGCAGCUGGGUGCCCCGCAGACCUGCAGCCAAGCUCUUGGCGCAGAUGGUCAGGACCACGAUGAGGACUCCAACCAGGAAAGUCACCAUGGGCCAGAGGAAGCAGUGCAAGAGAACAGUCUCAUCGUGGGUGCGCUUCAGCAUCACAUCGUCCGGCCUGUGCAAGGGGGACAGAAGAUGGAGAGAAUAUAAAUCAACAAAACACCAUCAAUUCGUAAGUGGGAGUCAUCUAACAUGCACUCAUGGCAGACUAUGAGAGCUUUCCACUUGCAGUGUUUACAGGCUAACAAGUUCACUUGGAUUAAAAAAGAAAAAAAAAAGAAGGAAAAGGUGUUGGGACUCUAGAUCUUCCUCUGAAUAUGGUCAUCACAAACAGCCAUGACAGGUGACCUGCUUGCUCCCGCAGUCUGAAGCCUUGUGGUUUUACUUGGAAACAGAAAAGGAAAGGUGCUCUGUCCCCGGGGGAAAACUUCUCAUGGUAAAGACCUGUCUUGGCUGGAAAGCCUAAGAGCAUCACUCCCCUGGUGCUGAGGCAGUGAUAUUGAACCCAAAGGAGGUACAUCAUGGCUAGAAACAUGUUUCUUUUCCCUAUGAAAAUCAGCUGAUAUAAUUAAAUUUGUUGCCUUGCUCCUGUAAGUACAGUGUCUUCAAUAAACCCAUCUUUGCUCUGUGACUUUAUAUAUAAAUAUAUAUACAUAACACUUCAGUUCAAAGAUGUUGGCAGAGGGGUUGUGCAUAUUCACCCUAAGCUUGAUUACUGGCAGUCUCCUCUUUCUAGCCAUGCUGCCAUUCAGGUUUCCAGUAAAUGUAAAGCCUCUUGAGGGGAUG